rnacentral:pre_miRNA from 1 species
AUUUGUAUUCGUCAAAGCGUUAUUGAGCGGUGUAACAUUACUCAAAUGUUACACCGGUGUAAUUUGAUCCCUCUCCAUAUAUAUAUUACACCGCUCAAUAACGCUUUGACGAAUACAAAAU